UACGUAGGGGGCGAGCGUUGUCCGGAUUUAUUGGGCGUAAAACGCUUGUAGGCGGCCACCGCGCGUCGGACGUGAAAUCUCCCGGCUCAACUGGGAGGGGUCGUGCGAUACGGCGGGGCUCGAGGCCGGUAGGGGGACGCGGAAUUCCCGGUGUAGUGGUGAAAUGCGUAGAUAUCGUAAGGAAGACCAGUGGCGAAGGCGGGUCUCUGGACAGUUCCUGACGCUGAGGCACGAGGGCCAGGGGAGCAAACGGG
rnacentral:rRNA from 1 species